UCGACGAUGAUCUCCAGCUUGCUGGGGGGAUUAGUGGCGAACGGGUGAGUAACACGUGAGUAACCUGCCCUUGACUCUGGGAUAAGCGUUGGAAACGACGUCUAAUACCGGAUAUGACGACCGAUGGCAUCAUCUGGUUGUGGAAAGAAUUUUGGUCAAGGAUGGACUCGCGGCCUAUCAGGUAGUUGGUGAGGUAAUGGCUCACCAAGCCUACGACGGGUAGCCGGCCUGAGAGGGUGACCGGCCACACUGGGACUGAGACACGGCCCAGACUCCUACGGGAGGCAGCAGUGGGGAAUAUUGCACAAUGGGCGAAAGCCUGAUGCAGCAACGCCGCGUGAGGGACGACGGCCUUCGGGUUGUAAACCUCUUUUAGUAGGGAAGAAGCGAAGUGUUUUACAUGGAGUGACGGUACCUGCAGAAAAAGCACCGGCUAACUACGUGCCAGCAGCCGCGGUAAUACGUAGGGUGCAAGCGUUGUCCGGAAUUAUUGGGCGUAAAGAGCUCGUAGGCGGUUUGUCGCGUCUGCUGUGAAAACUGGAGGCUCAACCUCCAGCCUGCAGUGGGUACGGGCAGACUAGAGUGCGGUAGGGGAGAUUGGAAUUCCUGGUGUAGCGGUGGAAUGCGCAGAUAUCAGGAGGAACACCGAUGGCGAAGGCAGAUCUCUGGGCCGUAACUGACGCUGAGGAGCGAAAGCAUGGGGAGCGAACAGGAUUAGAUACCCUGGUAGUCCAUGCCGUAAACGUUGGGAACUAGAUGUAGGGGCCAUUCCACGGUUUCUGUGUCGCAGCUAACGCAUUAAGUUCCCCGCCUGGGGAGUACGGCCGCAAGGCUAAAACUCAAAGGAAUUGACGGGGGCCCGCACAAGCGGCGGAGCAUGCGGAUUAAUUCGAUGCAACGCGAAGAACCUUACCAAGACUUGACAUAUACGAGAACGGGCCAGAAAUGGUCAACUCUUUGGACACUCGUAAACAGGUGGUGCAUGGUUGUCGUCAGCUCGUGUCGUGAGAUGUUGGGUUAAGUCCCGCAACGAGCGCAACCCUCGUUCUAUGUUGCCAGCACGUUAUGGUGGGAACUCAUAGGAGACUGCCGGGGUCAACUCGGAGGAAGGUGGGGAUGACGUCAAAUCAUCAUGCCCCUUAUGUCUUGGGCUUCACGCAUGCUACAAUGGCCGGUACAAAGGGCUGCAAUACCGUAAGGUGGAGCGAAUCCCAAAAAGCCGGUCUCAGUUCGGAUUGAGGUCUGCAACUCGACCUCAUGAAGUCGGAGUCGCUAGUAAUCGCAGAUCAGCAACGCUGCGGUGAAUACGUUCCCGGGCCUUGUACACACCGCCCGUCAAGUCAUGAAAGUCGGUAACACCCAACGCCAGUGGCCUAACCCGUGAGGGAGGG
rnacentral:rRNA from 1 species